GAUGAACGCUGGCGGCGUGCUUAACACAUGCAAGUCGAACGAGAAGUGAAGACGGAACCCUUCGGGCGGAAGGCUUUAUUUCGAGUGGCGGACGGGUGAGUAACGCGUGGGUAACCUGCCUCAUACAGGGGGAUAACAGUUUGAAACGACUGUUAAUACCGCAUAAGACCACAGCACCGCAUGGUGCGGGGGUAAAAACUCCGGUGGUAUGAGAUGGACCCGCGUUCGAUUAGCCAGUUGGCGGGGUAACGGCCCACCAAAGCGACGAUCGAUAGACGAUCUGAGAGAAUGGCCGGCCACAUUGGGAGUGAGACACGGCCCAGACUCCUACGGGAGGCAGCAGUGGGGAAUAUUGCACAAUGGGGGAAACCAUGAUGCAGCGACGCCGCGUGAGUGAAGAAGUAUUUCGGUAUGUAAAGCGCUAUCAGCAGGGAAGAAAAUGACGGUACCUGAGUAAGAAGCCACGGCUAACUACGUG
rnacentral:rRNA from 1 species